AAAGGGGGUGCAACCAGCAAACAGAACACAAGAUGAAUGCAAUCACAGAUGUUUCUUACCUGCACACGUGCCUCAGUAUAACUGCAGAGAAUUUGGACGUAAGGGAGAAAAAACCGGAUUAACUUGUGAGCCGAUGGAAAUAAGAACUUCAACUGGAGAAUUUAAUGCGGGCUAAUGUCCAGCAUGGCUGAGGGCUUUAAUGUAAGUGCCAAGAGGACCCGGUCGGUGGAGCAGCAGCCACCCUGACCACGGGGGAUGAGUGGGCACUAAACUCACACUGACAACUUUUUAAUGUGUAGAAGAGAGUUUAAACCCAUUUCAGAACGGUCUGAUUUAUUAGGAAGAGUAAUAAUGCAAAGGUAUAUUUACAUGUUUGAAGCAGUAAUCUGAAGUGAAUUAGAGUUGUGAUGCCUAUGUUUGUUUUCUCACACUUGGCAGAGUUGUGUUAUGUCAUCCACAUAAACUCCAAAGUAACAUUCAAUGGUUUUGUUUCAGGAGAUAUUACAAGGUCAGUUUAGGAAAAAAAUAUUUUAAGCACAUUCUCUAAAGGUAGGACCUUUGUGUGUUUCAUUUUAUAAAGGCAAACAACAGAAGAAUAAAUAAGUAUUGUACAGUAUUUACAGUGAUAAAGGUUUAGUUGAAAAGUAAGCUAUAGGCUAUUGUUACAGGUUUUUAAUCUCUGUUUAGAUCAGAGCUGCAAUUAUUUUCAGAACUAUUUGAUCUGAUAGUUAUUUUCUUGAUUAAGUGUUUGAUCUAUUUUCAGAAGCUAAUAAAAACUGUUCAUUACAACUUUGUAGAGGCU